CUUUGACCUGUGAGGGUUUUUCCCCCAACUAGGAGCAAAUCUGUGAGGCUUGACCCUUUGUGUGCUGUGGAGCAGAGACAAUGCCCUUCUGUGAAUGUCUUCUCCUCUUGAGGACAGUAGUAAUUGGCGACAGGAAUGUUAAUCAUUUGGCAAGCGCUUCUUCAUGGCCUUGCUGCCCUUUGCCACUGCAGCCAGCUCCCUGCUUGCCUCUACUCCCUCGAGAAUGGAGCCGCCAUUUUGUAGCAGCUUUCUAGAGAAGUUUUUUUCAAGAGCACUUUGAGAGUUGACAGUCUGACUUAAACUGAGGUCCAUGAAAGCUGGGUUCAGCCAGAGCAGGGCAGAGGAUGGCCAGAGGAGAAGAGGGCAGAGAGACGAUGGGAAGACAAGACGACCCUCUCUGCUGAGAGCUUCAGAGACCUGCAGAGACAUCCAAAUGACCUGCCUGCAGAGAGGAGCCAACCCCUCCAGGGCCUCCUCUCUGCUGAGAGCUGAACACUCCAUGGGAUGAUCUGCCUGCAAAGAGGAGCUACCCACUGUGGGUCUCCUCUGAGCUGUUUUAACACUAAAUAAAACUCUUCAUCUUCU
rnacentral:lncRNA from 1 species